AGGUUCACAAUUGUAUUUUAAGGUUACAUCAGAAUAGGUUUACAAGGUUUCAUAUUCAAACACAUCACAUUUUUGUUGUACAGCACAUUGCUGCAGAUCCUGUUUUCACCCUGUGUGUUUAGGUCUCUGUUUUAGCUACAGAGUGUGACA